rnacentral:rRNA from 1 species
UGGGGAAUAUUGCACAAUGGGCGCAAGCCUGAUGCAGCAACGCCGCGUGAACGAUGAAGGUCUUCGGAUCGUAAAGUUCUGUUGCAGGGGAAGAUAAUGACGGUACCCUGUGAGGAAGCCCCGGCUAACUACGUGCCAGCAGCCGCGGUAAUACGUAGGGGGCUAGCGUUAUCCGGAUUUACUGGGCGUAAAGGGUGCGUAGGUGGUCCUUCAAGUCGGUGGUUAAAGGCUACGGCUCAACCGUAGUAAGCCGCCGAAACUGGAGGACUGGAGUGGAGGAGAGGAAAGUGGAAUUCCCAGUGUAGCGGUGAAAUGCGUAGAUAUUGGGAGGAAGACCAGUAGCGAAGGCGGCUUUCUGGACUGAAACUGACACUGAGGAACGAAAGAGUGGGUAGCAAACAGG